UACGAAGGGGGCGAGCGUUGUUCGGAUUUACUGGGCGUAAAGGGCGCGCAGGCGGCGGAUCAAGUCAGACGUGAAAGCCCCGGGCUUAACCUGGGAACUGCGUUUGGGACUGAUUUGCUAGAGAUCGGGAGAGGAGAGUGGAAUUCCCAGUGUAGAGGUGAAAUUCGUAGAUAUCGGGAGGAACACCGGUGGCGAAGGCGGCGAUCUGGGUCGAUACUGACGCUGAGGUGCGAAAGCGUGGGGAGCAAACAGG
rnacentral:rRNA from 1 species